rnacentral:rRNA from 1 species
UACGAAGGGGGCUAGCGUUGUUCGGAGUUACUGGGCGUAAAGGGCGCGUAGGCGGCGCAUCAAGUCAGGCGUGAAAGCCCUGGGCUCAACCCGGGAAUUGCGCUUGAGACUGGUGUGCUUGAGUACGGGAGAGGAUAGUGGAAUUCCCAGUGUAGAGGUGAAAUGCGCAGAUAUCAGGAAGAACACCCGUGGCUAAGGCGGCUCUCUAGUACGGUACUGACGCUGAGACGCGAAAGCGUGGGGAGCGAACAGG